rnacentral:rRNA from 1 species
AACGAACGCUGGCGGCAGGCUUAACACAUGCAAGUCGAGCGCCCCGCAAGGGGAGCGGCAGACGGGUGAGUAACGCGUGGGAAUCUACCCAUCUCUACGGAAUAACGCAUGGAAACGUGUGCUAAUACCGUAUACGUUCUUCGGGAGAAAGAUUUAUCGGAGAUGGAUGAGCCCGCGUUGGAUUGGCUAGUUGGUGGGGUAAAGGCCUACCAAGGCGACGAUCCAUAGCUGGUCUGAGAGGAUGAUCAGCCACACUGGGACUGAGACACGGCCCAGACUCGUACGGGAGGCAGCAGUGGGGAAUAUUGGGCAAUGGGCGCAAGCUUGAUCCAGCCAUGCCGCGUGAGUGAUGAAGGCCCUAGGGUUGUAAAGCUCUUUCACCGGUGAAGAUAAUGACGGUAACCGGAGAAGAAGCCCCGGCUAACUUCGUGCCAGCCGCCGCCGUAACAC